GACGAACGCUGGCGGCGUGCCUAAUGCAUGCAAGUCGCACGGGUCUCCUUCGGUAGUUCAGUGUCGAAGGGCUGCGGACCACGUAGGAACCUAUCCUUCAGUGGGGGACAACACCGCGAAAGCGGUGCUAAUCCCGCAUACGCUCUGCGGAGGAAAGCGUGAGCAAUCGCGCGCGAUGGAUUGGCCCUGCGGCACAUCAGGGAGUUGGCGGUGGAACGGCACGCCAAGCACGUGUCGGGUCGCUGGUCUGUGACGACGACCAGUCAGACUGGGACUGAGACACGGCCCCGACUCCUACGGGAGGCAGCAGCAUGGUAUUCUCGGGGAUGGGCGCAAGUCUGACAGCGCAACGCGGGGGGCGGGAUGACGGCCUUCGGGUUGUGCAUCGCUUUUGGGGGGGAAGAAAGAGACGGUACCCCGCGAAGCAGCCCCGGCUAACUCUGUG
rnacentral:rRNA from 1 species